UACACAUACAAUCCAUAGUUUACAACACCAACAUCAUGUUCAAUGGCAGCCAUACACAAAAUUUUUAGAAUAAAUUGGCACUAACCUUGACUUAGGCACUUUCCAAGGCUUAAAAACUUCACUUUCUUCCUUUCAAAUUGCUGCCCAAAGCUUGCUCUAGUGGUAGGGAUAAUUUUCAAUGAAGGCAAGUUAGGGUUUUGAGGUGGUUUAAGGUGGGAAUUGAAGCUUUGAUAAGCUUUCAAUGGUGGUUUGGGUAUGGAAGAGGAAACUGCUGGAAAUGGGGAAGGAAAUGAAUUUGAUUGCUUUUAUUUAUUUGUCUCAAUUAUCCCUUUUUAAUAGGCUAGCUUAAUUGUGAUUGGUGGGAAAAGGAUUGAUUACAUCAUGUGAUGUCAAAAUUGUCAUUUAAUCUCAUUUUCUUUCUUUUUCUUCUCUACUCAUUUUCAAU
rnacentral:misc_RNA from 1 species